rnacentral:lncRNA from 1 species
GGCUUCCUGAGGUGAGCAUCUUUUUCUCUCUUUUAGGUAAUAGCUGCAGAUCUGGGAGGUGGGGUGAUGCCUGAUGGUUAAUGAAGCCCACAAGGAGUGAUGAGGCCCUGUGCCCAGGAUUCCAGGAUCACUUCCACUGCCUACGAAAGUGAUUGCCAUUGAAUCAGGCUUGCGUGGGC